rnacentral:rRNA from 1 species
AGUGAACGCUGGCGGCGUGCUUAACACAUGCAAGUCGAACGAGAACGGAAUAUAGCUUGCUAUAUUUGUCAGCUAAGUGGCGCACGGGUGAGUAAUGUAUAGAUAACCUGCCCUUAAGAAAGGAAUAACAGUUGGAAGCGACUGCUAAUGCCCUAUAUGCCUUUAAUACAUAAGUAUGCAAGGGAAACGCUUUAGUGCUUAAGGAUGGGUCUGUAUGGUAUCAGCUUGUUGGUGAGGUAAUGGCUCACCAAGGCUAUGACGCCUAACUGGUUUGAGAGGAUGAUCAGUCACACUGGAACUGAGACACGGUCCAGACUCCUACGGGAGGCAGCAGUGGGGAAUAUUGCACAAUGGACGAAAGUCUGAUGCAGCAACGCCGCGUGGAGGAUGACACAUUUCGGUGCGUAAACUCCUUUUAUAUAGGAAGAUAAUGACGGUACUAUAUGAAUAAGCACCAGCUAACUCCGUGCCAGCCGCCGCUGUAACAC